UACAGAGGGUGCUAGCGUUGUUCGGAAUCAUUGGGCGUAAAGGGCGUGUAGGCGGUUUGUUAAGUCAUGUGUGAAAUCCCUCGGCUCAACCGGGGAACGACGCAUGAAACUGGCAAGCUAGAGUACCAAAGAGGGGGGUGGAAUUCCCGGUGUAGCGGCGAAAUGCGUAGAUAUCGGGAGGAACACCCGUGGCGAAAGCGGCUCUCUGGAACGGUACUGACGCUGAGACGCGAAAGCGUGGGGAGCGAACAGG
rnacentral:rRNA from 1 species